CUCUCUAUCUUGGGGUGUUUUUUCUCCAGCGACGUUGAGUUCCCAGCCAACCUUCAGCCAUGAAGAUUCUCUACCUUCUCUUUGCAGUCUUCCUUCUGGUGCUGCAAAGCUCCCCAGGAUGCAGUAGGUUAAUCCAUCUGGACCGUGUUUGUGAGCUUAGAGGUGGUUCCUGCUUCCGUCGAUGUUACUCCCCUUAUUCAUGGAUUGCACCUUGCAGUGGUGGAAGGAGCUGCUGUGAAUCGAGGAAGAUCAGAGAGUGAGCGAUGUCAGCAGAGAGUAUUAAUGCAGGAUCUCUGGGAAUCUGGCAGAGCACGCCUGGCUUCUAAAGUCAUUGGACGCUUUUCUUCUAGACGGCAAAGAAUCUUGCAAGAGAGCCCUUGUGUCACCUCUAAUAGCUUCUUCUUCUCCUUUUAAUAAAAGUAGCUGGUUGUAGUGCAGUAUCGCA